GAGAGCCCCCUGGGAUCCUCAGGAGCCCUACAUCUUAUGGCUCCCCAAAUAAGAAACAGAAUUACCUCGUCACUUUCUGGUAUCUGGUCUGCACCAGAAGACCAGGGGCCACCUCCAGAUAACACUGAUACAUGGACUUGGGAUUAAGUUUUCCAACACAUUUUCCUCUGGGAUGGCGGGACAUUCAGACCACGGCCAUCUCCUUCUGUCACUGCAUGGAAUGAAGAGCCUUCACUUCACAGACAUGGAAGAGAAUAGAACAAAAGAUUCCACAGAUCAACUCAGGGUGGUGUCAACAAGAGACAGCAAUGAGGCGGAACACCCGGGGUGCUGCUAACUCUAGCUCUCAGGCUGUGCUGGCCACUGUCUUUCCCUACCAGAGGAAAGUUCUGACGGGCAGACACAGUCACUGCACUAGUGGGUGCUCACCGUGACAGAUCGAGACAACUGUGUGAGCUGGUCUGAAGCAGAGUCCUCUUCCCCGUGCAUGAAGACCAAGAAGGGUGCUCAUAGAACCGGUUCAGUAGGUACCCUGGGAAUUCAGAAGAAAGCAUCAGAUCUCCCUGGAACUGGAAGCACUGAUCGUGUGAGCCACCAUAUGGGUCCUGGGAACCAGCCAAGGUCCUCUGCAAAAGCCACAUAUGCAAAAGCUGUGGAGCCAUCUCUCCAGCUCCAUCUUUAAUUCUUUUGGCACUGAAAAUCUUUACUCCAAGAAAACCUCACCUAAGCUUCCAUCAAAACCAAAGGGAAAUCAGCAAUCGCAGGAUAUCUGAUAUGUGACCUCUGUGGAAGGGCCAUUCAACCCAAAGGAGUCAUGAUCCUCAGGUUGAGAACCGCUGUCCUAGUGUGACUAGACAGUCGAUUCCGACAGGCCAGAGUGUUUCUGGGACGGUUGGCUGCUUAAUCAACCAGGCCCUGGAAGGAGGAAGGACCAGAAGAGAGCCCUGACUCAGCCUGGAAUUGAUCACGCUUGUAUUGAAUAAGGCCACUGAGGUGUUGAGAUUGCAUGCUGUUACUACAGCAUAAUCCACUCAGCCCUGAUUAAUAGCCCUGAACGAGCCCAGAUCUCCAGAAUUCCCUUGUGGUCUAAGCUGAGGUGUUUUCCUCAAUGCCAUUCCUGCCCAUGCUUUAGAUGGCGUGCCGGGUUUGAGAAGUCUUCUACCUUUCACGUGGAUCUGAGGACCAGUUCUGAGCUGCCUCAUACAGGAGACUGCAGUGAGCUGAAUGGGUACCCUUCAGAAAGGCCUGGACUGUUACAUUACUGGGGGGUUGAAGGGGUCUUUGUAAAUGUAGUUAACUUAAGGCCGUGAAGCAGAAGAUCAGCCUGAAUUAGCAAUGUGGGCCUUAGUGGCCCAGUGGCAGGUGUACUUUUAAGUGUGAAGCAGGGAGGCCAGGGUUUAACUUAAUGGUGGAACAGUUAGUUGUUAAGUUUGUUUUUUAAGCUCCAACAUUACUUAAUAAACAAGGUACUG
rnacentral:lncRNA from 1 species